CGGACAACCGCGCGCCGGGUCCCGGGUCCCGGCGUCCGCCCGGUGGCCCCCGUCGGCUGCGGGCGCGCUCGGCCUGCUUCCCGCCCCCCCCCCCGCCCUUCUCCUAACGCUCCGCGCGGGCCACUCGGGGGUGGUGCGGCGGCGACGGCGACUCCGGUCCGGGCUCUCUGACCUGUAACCUCCCGGGGACGCUGACGAGCAGCCGCGCUCAGCUCAAGAAUCACCCCCUCCAAGUUGUCUUCCUGGAUUUACUCGGCACCAAAGUUAGCCUUCUCUUUCCUGGGGCCCGGCAGCCUGGAAAGAGAAACGGUGGUGGUGGAUGAUCGCACCGAUCCCGAUUUGGAAGUUGUGUGGCAGGUGACUUAGAAGGAUAAGUGGAGCCCUGGGAUGGAGGCACCGACAUGUCUUCUGAACGAAGGGAGAGCGAAUAUGGCCGCGGCGACGGGAGCCACGUGCUGUAUUCCAACAGCCUGUGAAAAACUGAAUCCUUCAAAGAACGAUGUGAGUGAACUUGGAAGCAGAUGCUCUCGGUAGAGCCUUCAGAUGAGACUGCAACCCUGGCUGACACCUGACUGCAGCGCUUGCGAGAGACCUUGAAGCAGAAGCCGCAGAGAGUGAGAGUGCAGGCAGGGGAGAGGGAGAGACAGAGAGAGAGAGAAUCCCAAGCGGGUUCCACACUCAGCAUGGAGCCCAACACGGGGCUCGCUCUUACAACCCUGCUAUCACGACUUGAGCGGAAAUCGAGUUGGAUGCUCAACCGACUGAGCCACCCAGGCGUCUCUGAAUUGUACACUUUAAACAGGUGAAUUGCAUGGUAUGUGAAUUAUAUCUCAACAAAGUGGUUAAAAAAAUAAGCCGACGCAUUCACAGGGCUCGUCUUGCUUGUUUUCUCUCUGGGAUCACUGUCCUGUGUUGCCCAAUACCUAGCAUCUUGAAGACUGUUGCUUCACAUUGUCUUUUUUGUUGUUGUUGUUUCAUGCCGGAGGGUAAAUACAAAUCCUAUUACUCAUCGUAACCAGAAGUUAGCAGUCUCCCUAUUUUUUUUUAAUUGGGGAAACCGAGGCCCAACGCAGCUAACUGGCUUGCCAAAGUUCACGUUAGUGAGUGGCAGAGUCAGGACUAGCCGAGACUUCCGGAUAUCUAGUCUGAAGUCGGGACAGGAUUGCUUCCUGUCUGUCCAGCUUCUGGGGCAACUUGAUGGCAGACGGUUAAUUAAGCAAUCAUAGACAAUGUAAAUAUCUGUGACCUGAGGAUCCCCGAAAGGCCCGGAUCGGUUCUCUGCCUCCCCCUCAACCAGCAAGCAUUGAUUGCACACCUACGUGCGAGGCUUGUUUGGGAGAACUCCCUGGGGACAGAGAAGCAGGUGCCAUCAUCCCUGGCAACAAGGGGCUCACCAUCUGUUUGGGGAUGAAGGCUCCACUCUCUGUGGAACAUCUCUGUGGCUUGGGCCAUUUACCUAUUAUAUAAUAAAAUGGCUCACUUCACUUGCAGCCAAGACGAUCAGGAGGGGUUCAUGGUGUGCGGGGGCUCUUCUCAGGAAAGGUUUCCCAGAGGAGGAAGAAUUUGGGUCUCAAAACACAGGCGGCACCCCUGACUGGGUGAGGCACUGAAGGCAGGACAUUGUCUCCGCAGGGCGUGUGUGAAAACGCACACAAGGCCGCAGAGGUUCCUUGGCUGUAAGAAAAGCCUGAGUCUUGCAGUGGGAAGGCACAGGGGGAUAUUGUACCGGCCAGAGGGCAGACCUGGGGGGUUUGAUGGAAGUCCUGUGAUGAGGAAAUGACUAAUAAGGAAGCCCACUGAGAAAUCAAAUGCGCCCAGGGAGACAGGUUUUUAUAGGAAGACAAGUAUCUUCCGAGAUCACGAAAAACUGGGCUGUCCGCUUGAAGUUACAGGACAAAAUAUUCCAGACCCUCAUCAUUCAAUCACUCCCUGAGCUUGUAUUGAACACCUACCAUGUACCGGGAAUUGUGCUGGGGGCUGUGGGUUCACAGGUGCCUGAGACUCGUGGCUUGCCCUAGUUCAUGGUCUAGAGAGGAAGACACUUGGUUGAUGACAGAAGGCGUAUUAGGUGGUGGGUUUUCCAGAAAGUGUAAAUUCACCUGCUUCUUUCAUUUUUUUUCUCUCCCUUCCGGUGUCAUAACUUAGAGAAUUGUACUCCCCCCCAACCCCACCAAAAAAAAAAAAAAGAAGAAGAAAAAAAAAAACCCUAGCA